UUGUCAAUGAGAUCAUAUCAAAAGCCAUUGCAGCAUUUUCUGCUACAGGAAUGGAUCCAUACAGUGUGCUACCUGAGGAUGAGUGGUUCAAUGAGGUUUGUCAGGAUGCAAUUGAUAGACUGAGUGGAAAACCCAGAGCCAUCAAUGGAGACAGAGAAGUUAACAGCCCGACGGCUUCUAUUUCCGCCCAGUCAAUCUCAUCGCUUAGGUCUCAUGGGAGUUCCUGAAAGCACUUGUCUCAGAUCUAUAUAUUACAAAGGAAAGGGAAAAUUAGGUUUGCGGGAUCUAAUUCUUGCAUCGAUAGUCAGCAAAUUUUUGCCUCGCCAUUUUUCUUUUGAUUCCGUUGCAGUAGUGUUCUCUUUAGUUGUAGAGCAUGACGAAUGAUGCUAUGGUUAGGGAUUCUUUCAUCUGGGUGAGUGAGAACCUUGACAUUGUAAAUGUUUUAAUUCGCGUUCUUAUCACAA